rnacentral:rRNA from 1 species
UACGUAGGUGGCAAGCGUUGUCCGGAAUUAUUGGGCGUAAAGCGCGCGCAGGCGGUCCUUUAAGUCUGAUGUGAAAGCCCACGGCUCAACCGUGGAGGGUCAUUGGAAACUGGGGGACUUGAGUGCAGGAGGAGAAGAGUGGAAUUCCACGUGUAAGCGGUGAAAUGCGUAGAGAUGUGGAGGAACACCAGUGGCGAAGGCGGCGAUCCUGGACCGGCAUUGACGCUGAGGCGCGAAAGCUAGGGGAGCAAACGGG